rnacentral:rRNA from 1 species
UACGAAGGGGGCUAGCGUUGCUCGGAAUCACUGGGCGUAAAGCGCACGUAGGCGGAUCGUUAAGUCGGAGGUGAAAUCCUGGAGCUCAACUCCAGAACUGCCUUCGAUACUGGCGAUCUUGGAGUCCGGGAGAGGUGAGUGGAACUCCGAGUGUAGAGGUGAAAUUCGUAGAUAUUCGGAAGAACACCAGUGGCGAAGGCCGGGCUCCACUGGCCC